UACGGGGGGAGCAAGCGUUGCUCGGAAUCACUGGGCGUAAAGCGCACGUAGGCGGCUUCUUAAGUCAGGGGUGAAAUCCUGGAGCUCAACUCCAGAACUGCCUUUGAUACUGAGGAGCUUGAGUCCGGGAGAGGUGAGUGGAACUGCGAGUGUAGAGGUGAAAUUCGUAGAUAUUCGCAAGAACACCAGUGGCGAAGGCGGCUCACUGGCCCGGUACUGACGCUGAGGUGCGAAAGCGUGGGGAGCAAACAGG
rnacentral:rRNA from 1 species